rnacentral:other from 1 species
CUUCCCCUGCUGAGUACGAUGAGCGCGGUUUUUAUAAUCCAACACAUGAGUAAAAAGGAGACUGUCUCUGUCCGUGGACUGCAGACCUCCCGGCCCAAAAGCCGGAAGAAGGGAGCGAGAAGCGGAUAGGCGGAAUCCAUUCCUGUCACAAGACGGGUUUUAACUGACUGCGCGACGGCCCUGCGGGGGGAGU